GGUUCGAUGGUGUAGCUGGUUAUCACGUCAGUCUUACAUCUCUGGAUGAUCACUGAAGGCCGGGAGUUCGAGCCUCUCUCGAAUCA